UACAGAGGUCUCAAGCGUUGUUCGGAUUCAUUGGGCGUAAAGGGUGCGUAGGCGGUCUUGUAAGUCAGUGGUGAAAUCUCUCAGCUUAACUGAGAAACUGCCAUUGAUACUGCAGGUCUAGAGUAUAGAUGACGUUGGCGGAAUAUGACAUGUAGUGGUGAAAUACUUAGAUAUGUCAUAGAACACCGAUUGCGAAGGCAGCUAACGAAGCUAUAACUGACGCUGAGGCACGAAAGUGCGGGGAUCAAACAGG
rnacentral:rRNA from 1 species